GUCAGCUACGGUCUGGGAACGUGGAGGAGGGAGGAGAGAAGCGCUGAAUGGAAAGAUUGGCGCGAGCGCUGAGCAUCUUGGUCCCCCAGUCUACCGGCCCGGGCAGCAGCGUACCAGGAUAUUCUAGACCAGAUGACAUAAAAGUGCAAACCAAAGUGCUCCUACUGCUUUUAAUGUACUUGUCAUUCCAGUAAUUGAGAAGCAAGAAGAGGAGCAGAUUUGUUAUUUGCAAGAAGAAAAAUGCAACGGACAAAUGAUUACUAGUCUAUAAAAUCCAAGCAUGGUAAAGAUGUUGCUUAUACCAAAAGAGAGGACUGAUGUUAACAUUUUCCAGAAUUUUAAGAAGUCUUUAAGAAAGGAUGCAUUCUGUUGCUAGUAAUGUUAAAUAAGCAUACAAAUAUUAUUUUUGGUCAGUAAUUUAUCCCCUACCCUGACUGAUGUGCUUUGAAAUUUUAUUUUAUUUUUCUUCUCCUCCUCCUCCUUUUUCUUUCUUUUUCUUUUUCUCCUUGAAAUAAAAUGGAUUUGUAAAGAAAAAUAAUUCAUCCCCUUGUAGCACUGUCACUUCCCUUGGAUUAUACCAAAUCAG
rnacentral:lncRNA from 1 species